UACGUAGGAUGCAAGCAUUAUCCGGAUUUAUUGGGCGUAAAGAGUAUCGUAGGCGGACUGACACGUGGCGGGUUUAAUCCUGGGGCUCAACCCCAGAACUGCUCGUCAUACGGUCAGCCUUGAGUCUGCUAGGGGGAACUGGAAUUCUCGGUGGAGGGGUGAAAUCCGUAGAUAUCGAGAAGAACGCCAAUGGUGAAGACAGGUUCCUAGGGCAGUACUGACGCUGAUGAACGACAGCUAGGGGAGCGAAAGGG
rnacentral:rRNA from 1 species